rnacentral:rRNA from 1 species
AUUGAACGCUGGCGGCAGGCUUAACACAUGCAAGUCGAGCGGGGGAAGGUAGCUUGCUACCGGACCUAGCGGCGGACGGGUGAGUAAUGCUUAGGAAUCUGCCUAUUAGUGGGGGACAACAUCUCGAAAGGGAUGCUAAUACCGCAUACGUCCUACGGGAGAAAGCAGGGGAUCUUUGGACCUUGCGCUAAUAGAUGAGCCUAAGUCGGAUUAGCUAGUUGGUGGGGUAAAGGCCUACCAAGGCGACGAUCUGUAGCGGGUCUGAGAGGAUGAUCCGCCACACUGGGACUGAGACGCGGCCCAGACUCCUACGGGGGGCAGCAGUGGGGAAUAUUGGACAAUGGGGGGAACCCUGAUCCAGGCAUGCCGCGUGUGUGAAGAAGGCCUUAUGGUUGUAAAGCACUUGAAGCGAGGAGGAGGCUACUUUAGUUAAUACCUAGAGAUAGUGGACGUUACUCGCAGAAUAAGCACCGGCUAACUCUGUGCCAGCCGCCGCCGUAA